AUUGAACGCUGGCGGCAGGCUUAACACAUGCAAGUCGAGCGGGGGAAGGUAGCUUGCUACUGGACCUAGCGGCGGACGGGUGAGUAAUGCUUAGGAAUCUGCCUAUUAGUGGGGGACAACAUCUCGAAAGGGAUGCUAAUACCGCAUACGUCCUACGGGAGAAAGCAGGGGAUCUUCGGACCUUGCGCUAAUAGAUGAGCCUAAGUCGGAUUAGCUAGUUGGUGGGGUAAAGGCCUACCAAGGCGACGAUCCGUAGCGGGUCUGAGAGGAUGAUCCGCCACACUAGGACUGAGACACGGCCCAGACUCCUACGGGAGGUAGCAGUGGGGAAUAUUGGACAAUGGGGGGAACCCUGAUCCAGCCAUGCCGCGUGUGUGAAGAAGGCCUUAUGGUUGUAAAGCACUUUAAGCGAGGAGGAGGCUACUUUAGUUAAUACCUAGAGAUAGUGGACGUUACUCGCAGAAUAAGCACCGGCUAACUCUGUGCCAGCCGCCGCCGUAA
rnacentral:rRNA from 1 species